CUAAUUGGAAUGUUCAGCAGUUCAAGUGUACUUGAAAGACAAUUUGCUCAGUAGUGCUUGUUGGGGAAGAGGGAAGUGCAAACUGGACCUGGAAGAACUAUCCAUAAAAAAGAAAAGUAUAUAUCAAGCGGGUUAACAGUUUAUCCCCUGUAAAGGUUAGAGGCAAGCAGUGUCCCAUGGCAGAAUGGGCAGAAUGUGCAGUAUUCUUUUAUUUGUUUAAUGUAAAGAAACCAUAUUUGUGAUACUGAUGUACUGAUGUGAUUUCAUUAGGAUUAUUCUUAGGAUACGGGCUGAGGAAGCUGAAGUCAUUCUGCUCGUCUUUGAGCAUAUGUUUAGUGUUCUGGCCCGUGAACCUUACUUAAAUUUUACCUUAAAUACCUUAAAUACUUUACCUUAAAUAUUUUUCAUGGCUGUGGGAGGAGCAGUAGGGAAGGAAGAAUUAUAAUCCCAGGCAUUCUUUUCGACUGCUUGUUCAUGAAGUACCAAUGUUAGCUGUUGCUCUUACCCUCACUUAGUUUUAGCUGUCCUUGGAGGAAAAACUGCAGAAGCAGCAGUCAUUUUUGAAGCAGAGAGCUUUCCUGAAAUGCUUUAGUUAGUAACGUGGUGCAAGGCUAAAUUGUAGUGAUAAGAUAACCACAUUAAUGUGAAAAUACGUUGCUGUGAAAAUAAAUGAGCAAUUUGCCUAGCCAGCACAAGCUUGAUGCUCUAAUUAAUCCAAGAUAAUUAGGGAAAUGAGUAAUAGACAACUAAGAAAACGCAUUGUGUGUGAUGGAGUAAUUCUCGUGAGCCUUUCCUGACCGAGGUGCUAAGGUCACCCCAUUCAUUUCUGCUUUCAUGCAACAAAACCUUGCAGAAGAAAUCUGUCUGAGAUGGAAGUGCACCGAUUGAAGACAGCAGCGCUUCUGAAAUUCCCCACUAGAUGGUGGCACAACACAGCCCUACUGGAGCUGCCUGGUACCAGACCUGUGUGGUCCUUGGGAAGCUUUUUAUUAUUAUUUUUCGAUCUUGUCUCUUGAGGAAGAAGACCUUGGCCUGUGCAAGUGGUGCUCUUGGCAGCAGGAAGGAACAGCAUGGCUACCUGAGUCUGGCCUUGGGUGGCAGUCAGCUAUUCAAGAGUGGUUGUAACGCAUUGGCCUAAUAGGAGUCAGUGGAAU
ensembl:lncRNA